AAAAAGUGGAGACCAGAAACCACUCGAAAAACGGGCGAUACAAAAAAGUAAAUUAUUAUGAAAUUC
rnacentral:ncRNA from 1 species